GUGGGGAAUAUUGGACAAUGGGGGGAACCCUGAUCCAGCCAUGCCGCGUGUGUGAAGAAGGCCUUUUGGUUGUAAAGCACUUUAAGCGAGGAGGAGGCUACCGAGAUUAAUACUCUUGGAUAGUGGACGUUACUCGCAGAAUAAGCACCGGCUAACUCUGUGCCAGCAGCCGCGGUAAUACAGAGGGUGCAAGCGUUAAUCGGAUUUACUGGGCGUAAAGCGUGCGUAGGUGGCCAAUUAAGUUAAAUGUGAAAUCCCCGAGCUUAACUUGGGAAUUGCAUUCGAUACUGGUUGGCUAGAGUAUGGGAGAGGAUGGUAGAAUUCCAGGUGUAGCGGUGAAAUGCGUAGAGAUCUGGAGGAAUACCGAUGGCGAAGGCAGCCAUCUGGCCUAAUACUGACACUGAGGUGCGAAAGCAUGGGGAGCAAACAGGAUUAGAAACCCCGGUAGUCC
rnacentral:rRNA from 1 species